GGAGCAGCAGAAACGUUUCGUGCUUCCCUGGACAAAAAUAUAAAUGAGUAGGAUCUCUCUCAUCUCUUGCCUUUUCAUCCUCCUCCUCCCUGACUGCCUCUGCUGUGGCUCCAUUGAUCUGUGGUCAAGAUGCUCCACAUUUACACCCCUGCCCAGAAGGAGAGAAUUUGAUUUGAGAUUCCUGACUGUGUGGAACCCAACCACUUGGCUGCUGCAGACAUUCCUGUUUGCUGGGCACACACAAAAACAAACUUGGAGCAUUUGCUUUGCAAUGGUCUCGGAUGGACAGUGGUUACUGGGGAUACCUGUGUGUGUUUGAAGACAAAGGUCAAGAAUGCCUGAGCAGAAAAGCUCAGAGAUGGAAUCCAUGGAGUAAGGUGUCACAACUUCAGGAGUGAAGGUCCACGAUGCUUUGAAGAUAAGACCAGCCUUACCACAGCUCAGGUUUUCACAAGCUCACCCAUCUCUGGGGGAAGGACACAGCACAGUAGAGAGAGCACACUAGAGAGAUGUUUUUUCCCUGGGAGCUUUGGUUUGGUUUAGUUUAUGGGUGGCAAAAUGCACAAUCUGACCCAGUACUUUUCUUCCACUGGAUAAGGGGCUGGGGCAUUGCCCUGACUCACCAGUGAGGCAGAGACCAGCCCUUCCCCUCCCAGUGCCUGCCCUCAGCCCUGCCCACCCCAGCCUUUUCUCCUCUGCCCACUCCAGACUGCACAUCCUCACCCCGCUCAGACACCUGCAGCUGCUUCCCUACUAAUCUAUCUCAGCAUUCUACAGUUUAUUUCUUCAGAAAUCUUCCUGAGAGCCUCCCCUCUACCACACCACGUUCA
rnacentral:lncRNA from 1 species